CCCCCCCAACAGCCUCCAAUGUCCCCAGUGUCCCCCGAUGUCCCCGUCAGAGCCCCAAGGACCCCUCAGGAUGUCCCCCUUGUGCCUCCCACAGCCCCCCCGUUGCGUCCCCAAAUUGUCCCCUUAGGGCCGCGCUGUGUCCCCACCUUGUCCCCCACAGCCUGGGGACAUCCAGCCGGGGGAUCCUGGGGGCUGUCGGGGACAAUCCCGGCGGUGGGGACAAUUCAAGGACACGUCCCCUUGUCCUCAAGGACGUCCCCACCCCCCCAAGUGACGAACCAGAGCCUGGGCGCACCCUUAAGCUUUAUUUAUUUAUCGGUGCGAGGAGACAAAGGACAGUGCCACCCUCCCUGUCCCCAAAAGGCCACCUCAGAGUCCCCAAAAAGGACCAGGGGGACCCCAGGACGCCCCCGGGUGACACCGCUGUCCCCAAGGUCACCGGGGGGGCUACGGCUGCCCCGCCACCUCCCCGGGCAGCACCCGCAGCGCCUCCGCCAGCCUCUGUGUCGCCUCCUCGUCCUGGGUCACCGUCCCCAAGGCCACCGCGGCUGUCCCCAAGGCGCGGGUGGUGGCGGGGAAGCCGCGGGCGUCCUGCAGGUCGUCCUCCAGUGCUCCCAGUAGCUGCCGCAACUGGUCGGCCAGGUGACGGUAAUGGGCCAGUUGGUGACGUUGCUGGUCCAAGGCGGUGGCCAGGCAGGGGACGAGGUGGCCCUCCUGUGUCACCCCCAGCGCCUCCCGCACCGCGUCGAAGGACACUGCGGGGACAAGGAGGGACGGGGGUGGCACCUGGUGGCCCCUGGUGGCGUUCCCAGGGUCACCGUCCCCAAAUUGUGGCCUCUGGACCCCCUCCCAGUGCCCCCCAGUUCCCUCCCAGUGCCCCCAUCCCCUCCCCAGUGUCCUCUUCCCAGUGUCCCUGUCCCCUCCCGGUGUCCCCAUCCUGUCCCAGUGCCCCCAUCCCCUCCCAGUAUCCUCUUCCCAGUGUCCCCAUCCCCUCCCAGUGUCCCCAUCCCCUUCCCAGUGUCCCUUGAUCCCCUCCCAGUACCCUCCGGCUCACUCCCAGUGCCCCCAGUCCCUCCUCCCAGUGCCCCCCAGUUCCCUCCCAGCGCCCCCAUCCCCUUCCCAGUGUCCCUGUCCCAUCCCAGUGUCCCCAUUCCCUCCCAGUGCCCCCGUCCCCUUCCCAGUGUCCUCUUCCCAGUGUCCCCAUCCCCUCCCAGUGCUCCCAGUCCCCCUGCCCUCCCACUAUCCUUUGAUCCCCUCCCAGUGUCCCUUGAUCCCCUCCCAGUGGCCCCUGGUCCAUACUGGGAGCACAGGAGUGUCUACACUGGUCUAUACUGGAACUCCCUACUGGUCUAUAGCAGUUCUUACUGGUCUGUAGGGCUCCUUGAUGGUCUAAACCAGUCAGGGCAGGAUAAAACCUAAUGGUUCUUACUGGUCUGUACUGGUCCUUAGUAGUUUACGGUAGUUCCCGCUAACCUCUAGCGGUGUAUACUGGUCUAAACUGGUCUGCAGGGCACCUGUACUGGUACGUAGUAGAAAAAGGGGGAAGAGCCUACUGGUUUGCAGAAUUCCUUACUGGUCUGAACUGGUGCCUACUGGGCCAUAGCACUCUCCACCAGCACCAGUGAACCAAAUGGACCUGAAGGACUCCCUGUUGGUCCCUUACUGGUUUGUACUGGUUCAUACUGGUCCCUUACUGGCUUUUGCUGCUUUUUUACUGGCCUCUACUGGAUUUUACGAGCCAAUAUUGUUUUUUACUGGUUUCUUACUGGUUCCUACUGCUUUUUUACUGGCCUCUACUGGAUUUUACUGCUUUUUUACUGGCCUCUACUGGAUUUUACUGCUUUUUUACUGGCCUCUACUGGAUUUUACGAGCCUCUACCGUUUCUUACUGGUUAAUACGACUUCUUACUGCUUCCUACCAGUUCCUUACUGGCUUUUACUGCUUUUUUACUGGUUCCUUACUGGCUUUUACUGCUUUUUUAUUGGCCUCUACUGGAUUUUACGAACCUCUGCCAUUUUUUACUGGUUCCUUACUGGCCUCUACUGGUUUUUACUAGCCUCUACCGUUUCUUAUUGGUUUCUAUGACUUCUUACUGGUUCCUACCAGUUCCUUACUGGUUCCUACUACUUUUUUACUGGCCUCUACUGGAUUUUACUGCUUUUUUUACCAGCCUUUACUGGAUUUUACGAGCCUCUAUUGUUUUUUACUGGUUCCUUACUGGUUCCCACUGCUUUUUUACUGGCCUCUACCGUUUUUUACUGGUUCCUACUGCUUUUUUGCUGGCCUCUACUGGAUUUUACUGGUUUCCACCACUUCUUACUGGCUCCUCCUGGCCCCCCCCGGCCCGUACUCACGCAGGGGGGUGCAGAGCAGCAGCAGCCCCAGGGCGACGUUGCGCAGCACCACCAGGAGCUUCUG
rnacentral:lncRNA from 1 species